AACGAACGCUGGCGGCAGGCUUAACACAUGCAAGUCGAGCGCGUAGCAAUACGAGCGGCAGACGGGUGAGUAACACGUGGGGAUCUGCCCACUGGUACGGAAUAACUCAGGGAAACUUGUGCUACUACCGUAUGUGCCCGCAAGGGGCAAGAUUUAUAGCCAUUGGAUGAACCCGCGUCAGAUUAGCUAGUUGGUAGGGUAAAGGCCUACCAAGGCGACGAUCUGUAGCUGGUCUGAGAGGAUGAUCAGCCACACUGGGACUGAGACACGGCCCAGACUCCUACGGGAGGCAGCAGUGGGGAAUAUUGGACAAUGGGGGCAAGCCUGAUCCAGCCAUGCCGCGUGAGUGAUGAAGGCCUUAGGGUUGUAAAGCUCUUUCGCCGACGAAGAUAAUGACGGUAGUCGGAGAAGAAGCCCCGGCUAACUUCGUGCCAGCCGCCGCCGUAA
rnacentral:rRNA from 1 species